rnacentral:tRNA from 1 species
UGGGGCGUCGUCUAAAGGUAGGACACAGGCUUUUGGAGCCUGCCGUGGGGGUUCGAUUCCUCCCGCCCCAGCCA